UGGUGCUGAGAGAGUGUGAGAGGCCGAAUUUACUGCAUCUCAUUCUGGCAAAGAUGAAAUGGAUUAAUAAGUGUGUCUUCCUUCCCCAACAGCUGCUUGAGGAUGUGAGAUUUACAGACUGAGAGAAAGAGACCCGAGGAGGAAAAUGGCAUGAAAAGAGGGAGUCAUUGGGAGAUAAAAAAGUUCAAGUUCACAAUAAGAGAAAAGAUUUGAUUAGAUUAUGUCAGAGUUUAUGAGGAAACAUUUGCCAUCUCAGCAGUGGUUUGCACAUAUGGCUCCCAUAAUGACAUUCUCAGACAGCAAUAUGGCUGUGUGCGGAGGAGCCGUGGCUUUUGCCAGAUUUGCACUUGGCUUGUCCUGUUUAUCAGCAGAUUUAUAGAUGGUGUGGAAAAGCCCCCUCAUUCCUACGCAGAAGUCUGGCCAAUCACCAUAAUACUUUCAUCUCACAUUACUCCGCCAUCGAGUCUACUGCCACAAAUGCCCACCCGCUGCAUAGGCAAGUACACGCACCCAUGUUAUUAUUGAGCAGAAGGAAAAUGACAGUCAGUGUGGACACUGCAUAUUACUUUGGGCAAGCACUAACAACUAGCUACCCAAACAGCAUCUCUCACUCCCUUUUGAGGUCUUUAUCAGUCUGUGUUUACAUUGCCGGUCAACAUUAACAUUAAUGUUUUGUUGAAAAUGUCUUAUUUGGCUGUCUCACAGUGCUUUCUAAUGCUAUGUUUACAGCAAAAUUAGUUUGCGAACUGAGACGUGUU